rnacentral:rRNA from 1 species
GCUUACAAUCAGAAGGAGAACGACUUUAGCGUUUGACUUCGUGCCUGUUGAAGAAUGUUCCGGCGACUUAUAGUUAGUGGCAGGUUAAGAUAGAGAUAUCGGAGCCAUAGUGAAAGCGAGCUUGAAUAGAGCGUGAGUCACUAGUUAUAGACCCGAACCCGGUUGAUCUAACCAUGGGCAGAAUGAAACUUGGGUAAUACUAAGUGGAGGUUCCAACCGACUUAUGUUGAAAAAUGAGCGGAUGACCUGUGGUUAGGGGUGAAAUGCCAAUCGAAAUCGGAGCUAGCUGGUUCUCCCCGAAAUGUAUUUAGGUGCAGCGGUUAGUGUUAUAGCAUAGGGGUAAAGCACUGUUUCGGUGCGGGCUGGUAAUUCGGUACCAAAUCGAGGCAAACUCUGAAUACUAUGUGUAUAACUAACCAGUAAGACUACGAGGGAUAAGCUUCAUAGUCAAGAGGGAAACAGCCCAGAUCGCCAGCUAAGGCCCCCAAGUAAUUGCUAAGUGGUAAAGGUGGUGGAAAGGCUUAGACAACCAGGAGGUUUGCUUAGAAGCAGCAAUCCUUUAAAAAGUGCGUAAUAGCUUACUGGUCUAGCAGUUCUGCGCCGAAAAUUUAUGGGACUAAGUAAUUCGCCGAAGCUGCGAGAUAUAUAAAUUAUAUAUCGGUAGGGGAGCGUUCCAUUGUAGGCUGAAGUAUUAGCGAAAGCGGAUAUGGACGAAAUGGAAGUGAGAAUGUCGGAUUGAGUAGCGAAAACAUUGGUGAGAAUCCAAUGCUCCGAAAACCUAAGGUUUCCUCCGCAAGGCUCGUCCACGGAGGGUGAGUCAGGUCCUAAGAUGAGGCUGAAAAGCGUAGUUGAUGGACAACAGGUUAAUAUUCCUGUACUGAUUAUUACUGGUAUCGAGGGACGAAGAAGGCUAGACUAGCCAGAUAUUGGUUACUGGUUUAAGUAUACAAGGUGUUGAAGGUUAGGGAAAAUAAUCUGAGCUGAGGUACGAAUACAAGAUUUAUUGAUCAAAGUAGUUGAUGUCAUACUUCCAAGAAAAGCUCGCAAUGCCUUAAGUAAUAAUUACCUGUACCUUAAACCGACACAGGUAGGUAGGUAGAGUAUACCAAGGAGCGCGGGAGAACCCUCCUUAAGGAACUCGGCAAAAUAACUCUGUAACUUCGGGAGAAAGAGUGCCCUUUGGGCUGCAAUAUCAAGUUCCAAGCAACUGUUUAGCAAAAACACAGGUCUCCGCUAAGUUGUAAAACGAUGUAUGGGGGCUGACGCCUGCCCAGUGCCGGAAGGUUAAAGAAGUCGGUUAGCGUAAGCAAAGCUGGUAACUGAAGCCCCGGUGAACGGCGGCCGUAACUAUAACGGUCCUAAGGUAGCGAAAUUCCUUGUCGGGUAAGUUCCGACCCGCACGAAUGGCGUAAUGAUUUGGAAGCUGUCUCGAGGAGGGACUCGGCGAAAUAGAAAUGUCUGUGAAGAUGCGGACUACCUGUGCCAGGACAGUAAGACCCUAUGAAGCUUUACUGUAUCCUGAAAUUGAGUUUUGAUUAUAUUUGCGCAGAAUAGGUGGGAGACAAUGAAAUUAUUUUUACGGAAGU